rnacentral:tRNA from 1 species
GGAAAUAGCUCAGUGACAGAGCACAUGCUUAGCACUCACGUGGUCCUGGGUUCAAUCCCCAGUACCUCCA